AUUGAACGCUGGCGGCAGGCUUAACACAUGCAAGUCGAGCGGGGUGAUGGUGCUUGCACUAUCACUUAGCGGCGGACGGGUGCGUAAUGCUUAGGAAUCUGCCUAUUAGUGGGGGACAACAUCUCGUAAGGGAUGCUAAUACCGCAUACGUCCUACGGGAGAAAGCAGGGGAUCACUUGUGACCUUGCGCUACUAGAUGAGCCUAAGUCGGAUUAGCUAGUUGGUGGGGUAAAGGCCUACCAAGGCGACGAUCUGUAGCGGGUCUGAGAGGAUGAUCCGCCACACUGGGACUGAGACACGGCCCAGACUCCUACGGGAGGCAGCAGUGGGGAAUAUUGGACAAUGGGGGGAACCCUGAUCCAGCCAUGCCGCGUGUGUGAAGAAGGCCUUAUGGUUGUAAAGCACUUUAAGCGAGGAGGAGGCUCUUUUGGUUAAUACCCAAGAUGAGUGGACGUUACUCGCAGAAUAAGCACCGGCUAACUCUGUGCCAGCCGCCGCCGUAA
rnacentral:rRNA from 1 species